GACGAACGCUGGCGGCGUGCUUAACACAUGCAAGUCGAACGGAAAGGCCCUGCUUUUGUGGGGUGCUCGAGUGGCGAACGGGUGAGUAACACGUGAGUAACCUGCCCUUGACUUUGGGAUAACUUCAGGAAACUGGGGCUAAUACCGGAUAGGAGCUCCUGCUGCAUGGUGGGGGUUGGAAAGUUUCGGCGGUUGGGGAUGGACUCGCGGCUUAUCAGCUUGUUGGUGGGGUAGUGGCUUACCAAGGCUUUGACGGGUAGCCGGCCUGAGAGGGUGACCGGCCACCUUGGUCCUGAGGUACGGCCCAGACGCCUACGGUAGGCAGCAGGGGGGAAUAUUGCACAAUGGGCGGAAGCCUGAUGCAGCAACGCCGCGUGCGUGAUGACGGCCUUCGGGUUGUAAACCGCUUUCGCCUGUGACGAAGCGUGAGUGACGGUAAUGGGUAAAGAAGCACCGGCUAACUACGUG
rnacentral:rRNA from 1 species